UUAAUACUGGAUAGAUCAAAGAUACUGGAAUGUUCUUUGGCCCAAAACUCCGGUGCCCAAGGAUGGGUCUGCGGCCUACCAGGUUGUAGUGGGUGUAACGUACCUACUAGCCUACGACGGGUAAGGGUUGUGAGAGCAAGAUCCCUGAGAUGGAUUCUGAGACAUGAAUCCAGGCCCUACGGGGUGCAGCAGGCGCGAAACCUUUGCACUGCGGGAAACCGCGAUAAGGGGACCCCGAGUGCCAGCACCUAGUGCUGGCUGUCCCGCUGUUCAAAAAACAGUGGUUAGCAAGGGCCGGGCAAGACCGGUGCCAGCCGCCGCGGUAACACCGGCGGCCCGAGUGGUAGCCGCUAUUAUUGGGUUUAAAGGGCCCGUAGCCGGCCUAUUAAGUCUCUUGGGAAAUCUGGCGGCUCAAUCGUCAGGCGUUCA
rnacentral:rRNA from 1 species